AUCCAGCUGACGAGUUCUAAAUAGGACGAAGCGGUGCGCGUCCUGGAU
rfam:Schistosoma mansoni strain Puerto Rico chromosome 6, complete genome